UUGACAGCUCUGGAGACUGAAGUCCUCUGAUGAGCCAGAGACAGGUACAGUAUGAACAACAUCGGUAUGGCUUUCUCAAAUUGCUUUGCUAAUGGGCUUCAGCUCUCAAGGAGCAACUCACAAUGGUGGGAGAACAGUUCCAGUCUCACGACCCACUUAGUUUAUUGGGACU
rnacentral:sRNA from 1 species